GGAAUUUUUAAUACUAUGUAAAACUUAUAAAUUCAGAAUCAAGCUAUACUUAUUUCGUUUGAAUUGGAAUUAUUUUCAACAAACUUUGUUGUCUCAUACACAUUUGACAAAAAUUCUACAAAUAUUUAUCGGUAAGAAUCGAUUGCACCACAUCACUAUUAAA